rnacentral:rRNA from 1 species
GAUGAACGCUGGCGGCGUGCCUAAUACAUGCAAGCCGAGCGAACGGACGAGAAGCUUGCUUCUCUGAUGUUAGCGGCGGACGGGUGAGUAACACGUGGAUAACCUACCUAUAAGACUGGGAUAACUUCGGGAAACCGGAGCUAAUACCGGAUGAUAUUUUGAACCGCAUGGUUCAAAAGUGAAAGACGGUCUUGCUGUCACUUAUAGAUGGAUCCGCGCUGCAUUAGCUAGUUGGUAAGGUAACGGCUUACCAAGGCAACGAUGCAUAGCCGACCUGAGAGGGUGAUCGGCCACACUGGAACUGAGACACGGUCCAGACUCCUACGGGAGGCAGCAGUAGGGAAUCUUCCGCAAUGGGCGAAAGCCUGACGGAGCAACGCCGCGUGAGUGAUGAAGGUCUUCGGAUCGUAAAACUCUGUUAUUAGGGAAGAACAUAUGUGUAAGUAACUGUGCACAUCUUGACGGUACCUAAUCAGAAAGCCACGGCUAACUACGUG